rnacentral:lncRNA from 1 species
CGGACCCAUUGCUUUGCUGAUGAACAGCUGCACAGGAAGAAUAGCAGUGGAAGGAGGUUGCAGUCCAUCUGCUUUGAUGUCAUUUUUUUUCCCCUCUGAGUUUGGUAACAUCCAGAGUGCUCCAGGCAUAUAACCACUCUGGGCAAGUUGGAAAGCAAAAUAAUAUGCAAAGACAAGAUGAAACAGAUGUUUGAGGUCUACAUUACAAUUCAGACAGAAUCAGCUGAAGACAUCAGAACAAAAUGCUUGCAAGUGUUCCUGUGCUAUCAGUUACUCAAGGGAUAGUUACAGGAAUGUGUUCAGAGCUUGAAGGCAAGUCAGCUGGAGCUUUGGGAGCCUGCCACCUCCUGAGACCAGAUUCCAAACUUGCUUGAUCUAUUUGUGUGAAUGUGACUGUUGACAAAUACAGAACAUCAAGAUUUAUCUCAAAGUCGUGCUGUAUGAGCAUCAUUUGUGCUUUAUAAUCCAAUAAAAGAUUUACGUUUCUCA